ACGCUCGACACCUACGGGAGCCAGCAGUGGGGAAUAUUGCACAAUGGGGGAAACCCUGAUGCAGCGACGCCGCGUGACUGAAGAAGUAUUUCGGUAUGUAAAGGUCUAUCAGCAGGGAAGAAAGAAGACGGUACCUGACUAAGAAGCCCCGGCUAACUACGUGCCGNNCGCGUAUNUGAGCGGCGUGNAG
rnacentral:rRNA from 1 species